rnacentral:rRNA from 1 species
AUUGAACGCUGGCGGCAGGCCUAACACAUGCAAGUCGAAUGGUAACAGGAAACAGCUUGCUGUUUCGCUGACGAGUGGCGGACGGGUGAGUCAUGUCUGGGAAACUGCCUGAUGGAGGGGGAUAACUACUGGAAACGGUAGCUAAUACCGCAUAACGUCGCAAGACUAAAGAGGGGGACCUUCGGGCCUCUUGCCAUCAUAUGUGCCCAGAUGGGAUUAGCUAGUAGGGGGGGUAACGGCUCACCUAGGCGACGAUCCGUAGCUGGUCUGAGAGGAUGAGCGGCCGCACUGGAGAUGGAACACGGUCCAGACUCCUACGGGAGGGAGCAGUGGGGUAUAGUGGACAGUGGGCGGAAGCCUGGUGCAGCCAUGCCGCGUGUAUGAAAGAGGCCUUGGGGUUGUAAAGUACUUUCAGGGGGGAGGAAGGGAGUAAGGUUAAUACCUUUGGUCAUUGACGUUACCCGCUGAAGAAGCACCGGCUAACUCCGUG